rnacentral:rRNA from 1 species
UACGUAGGGUGCAAGCGUUAAUCGGAAUUACUGGGCGUAAAGCGUGCGCAGGCGGUUGUGUAAGACAGAUGUGGAAAUCCCCGGGCUCAACCUGGGAACUGCAUUUGUGACUGCACAGCUGGAGUGGCGGCAGAGGGGGAUGGAAUUCCGCGUGUAGCAGUGAAAUGCGUAGAUAUGCGGAGGAACACCGAUGGCGAAGGCAAUCCCCUGGGCCUGCACUGACGCUCAUGCACGGAAAGCGUGGGGAGCAAACAGG